AGUUAAUUAGCUUAUUAUAUUAAAGCAUUUACCUUGAAAGUAAAAGAAAGAGGAAUUUAUUAACUU
rnacentral:tRNA from 1 species